rnacentral:rRNA from 1 species
GACGAACGCUGGCGGCGUGCCUAAUACAUGCAAGUAGAACGCUGAAGGAGGAGCUUGCUCUUCUGGAUGAGUUGCGAACGGGUGAGUAACGCGUAGGUAACCUGCCUGGUAGCGGGGGAUAACUAUUGGAAACGAUAGCUAAUACCGCAUAACAGUAGAUGUUGCAUGACAUUUGCUUAAAAGGUGCAAUUGCACCACUACCAGAUGGACCUGCGUUGUAUUAGCUAGUUGGUGGGGUAACGGCUCACCAAGGCGACGAUACAUAGCCGACCUGAGAGGGUGAUCGGCCACACUGGGACUGACACGGCCCAGACUCCUACGGGAGGCAGCAGUGGGGAAUAUUGGACAAUGGGCGCAAGCCUGAUCCAGCAAUGCCGCGUGAGUGAUGAAGGCCUUAGGGUUGUAAAGCUCUUUUACCCGGGAAGAUAAUGACUGUACCGGGAGAAUAAGCCCCGGCUAACUCCGUG